GACGUCUGCAGGGAGCCCCGUGAUGAAGAUAGUGCGGACCUCGUCCGGGCCAACGGUGCCAGGCGCGCCGGGGACGGGGGGUGGAGGAGGGACGGCGACCGAGGCCGCGGCCCCCGGCGGGGGCGGCGCGGCCGCCGUGGGUGGCCACUGCUGGAACGGGUGGAUACCGGCGCCGGCCAUGGAAUUACGCUAAACCUAGCGGAAGAGACAGAUUGGGGUUUGGGGGCUGGGAGGGCGAGGGUUCGGAAGGAGGAGAUAGAGAGAACGACGAAUUGCGGAUUUGGGGAUGGAGAUGAUGAGACGAUGGAUCUCGG
rnacentral:misc_RNA from 1 species